CUACGGAGGAUCCGAGCGUUAUCCGGAUUUAUUGGGUUUAAAGGGUGCGCAGGCGGGGGAUUAAGUCGGUGGUGAAAUUUUGCGGCUCAACCGUAAUAGUGCCAUUGAUACUGGUUCCCUUGAGUGUGGAUGGAGUAGGCGGAAUUUGUGGUGUAGCGGUGAAAUGCAUAGAUAUCACGAGGAACUCCGAUCGCGUAGGCAGCCUACUAGGCCAUAACUGACGCUCAUGCACGAAGGCGUGGGGAUCAAACAGGAUUAGAUACCCUGGUAGUCCACGCAGUAAACUAUGAUUACUGGCUGUUUGCGAUACACAGUAAGCGGCCCAGCGAAAGCGUUAAGUAAUCCACCUGGGGAGUACGUUCGCAAGAAUGAA
rnacentral:rRNA from 1 species